GACGAACGCUGGCGGCGUGCUUAACACAUGCAAGUCGAACGGAAAGGCCCUGCUUUUGUGGGGUGCUCGAGUGGCGAACGGGUGAGUAACACGUGAGUAACCUGCCCUUGACUUUGGGAUAACUUCAGGAAACUGGGGCUAAUACCGGAUAGGAGCUCCUGCUGCAUGGUGGGGGUUGGAAAGUUUCGGCGGUUGGGGAUGGACUCGCGGCUUAUCAGCUUGUUGGUGGGGUAGUGGCUUACCAAGGCUUUGACGGGUAGCCGGCCUGAGAGGGUGACCGGCCACAUUGGGACUGAGAUACGGCCCAGACUCCUACGGGAGGCAGCAGUGGAGAAGAUUACACAAUAGGCGGAAGCCUGAUGCAGCAACGCCGCGUGCGGGAUGACGGCCUUCGGGUUGUAAACCGCUUUCGCCUGUGACGAAACGAGAGUGACGGUAAUGGGUAAAGAAGCACCGGCUAACUACGUG
rnacentral:rRNA from 1 species